GUAGAUAUACCUCAGUAGUAGAGUUCGUGCUUAGCAUGCACGGGGUCUUGGGUUCAAUCUCCAGUACCUCCA
rnacentral:tRNA from 1 species